rnacentral:tRNA from 1 species
GCCGGCUUAGCUCAGUCGGUAGAGCACCUGAUUUGUAAUCAGGGGGUCGGGGGUUCGAAUCCCUCAGCCGGCACCA